UACGAAGGGGGCUAGCGUUGCUCGGAAUCACUGGGCGUAAAGCGCACGUAGGCGGAUUGCUAAGUCAGGGGUGAAAUCCCGGAGCUCAACUCCGGAACUGCCUUUGAUACUGGCGAUCUUGAGUUCGGGAGAGGUGAGUGGAACUGCGAGUGUAGAGGUGAAAUUCGUAGAUAUUGGGAAGAACACCGGUGGCGAAGGCGGCGACCUGGUCCGUGACUGACGCUGAGGCGCGAAAGCGUGGGGAGCAAACAGG
rnacentral:rRNA from 1 species